GACGAACGCUGGCGGCGUGCUUAACACAUGCAAGUCGAACGGUAAGGCCCUUCGGGGUACACGAGUGGCGAACGGGUGAGUAACACGUGGGUGAUCUGCCCUGCACUUCGGGAUAAGCCUGGGAAACUGGGUCUAAUACCGGAUAGGACCACUGCCUGCAUGGGUGGUGGUGGAAAGCUUUUGCGGUGUGGGAUGGGCCCGCGGCCUAUCAGCUUGUUGGUAGGGUGAUGGCCUACCAAGGCGACGACGGGUAGCCGGCCUGAGAGGGUGAGCGGCCACACUGGGAGUGGGAUACGGCCCGGAGGCCUGCGGGAGGCAGCAGGGGGGAAUAUUGGACAAUGGGCGCAAGCCUGAUGCAGCGACGCCGCGUGAGGGAGGACGGCCUUCGGGUUGUAAACCUCUUUCAGCACCGACGAGGCGCAAGUGACGGUAGGUGCAGAAGAAGGACCGGCCAACUACGUGCCAGCAGCAGCCGCCG
rnacentral:rRNA from 1 species